rnacentral:rRNA from 1 species
AUUGAACGCUGGCGGCAGGCCUAACACAUGCAAGUCGAACGAGUGGCGGAAGGGUGUGCAAUGUCUGGGAAACUGCCCGAUGGAGGGGGAUAACUACUGGAAACGGUAGAAAAUACCGCAUACCAUCGGAUGUGCCCAGAUGGGAUUAGCUAGUAGGUGGGGUAACGGCUCACCUAGGCGCCGAUCCCUAGCUGGUCUGAGAGGAUGACCAGCGACACUGGAACUGAGACACGGCCCAGACUCCUACGGGAGGCAGCAGUGGGGAAUAUUGCACAAUGGGCGCAAGCCUGAUGCAGCCAUGCCGCGUGUAUGAAGAAGGCCUUCGGGUUGUAAAGUUCUUUCAGCGUGGAGGCGUUACUCGCAGAAGAAGCACCGGCUAACUCCGUGCCAGCAGCCGCGGUAAUAC